GAGACCUCAGGUCAGGCGGGAUUACCC
rnacentral:rRNA from 1 species